GCCGGGUGCAGUGGCGCGUGCCUAUAGUCCCAGCUACUCGGGAGGCUGAGGUGGGAGGAUCGCUUGAGCCCAGGAGUUCUGGGCUGUAGUGCGCUAUGCCGAUCGGGUCUCCGCACUAAGUUCGGCAUCAAUAUGGUGACCUCCUGGGAGCAGGGAACCACCAGGUUGCCUAAGGAGGGGUGAACCGGCCCAGGUUGGAAACGGAGCAGGUCAAAACUCCAGUGCUGAUCAGUAGUGGGAUCAAUCGCACCUGUGAAUAGCCACUGCACUCCAGCCUGGGCAACAUAGCGAGUCCCGUCUCUA
ensembl:misc_RNA Metazoa_SRP Metazoan signal recognition particle RNA